AUUGAACGCUGGCGGCAGGCCUAACACAUGCAAGUCGAGCGAGCGGCGGACGGGUGAGUAAUGUAUGGGGACUGCCCGAUAGAGGGGGAUAACUACUGGAAACGGUGGCUAAUACCGCAUACCAUCGGAUAGCCCAGAUGGGAUUAGCUAGUAGGUAAGGUAAUGGCUUACCUAGGCGACGAUCCCUAGCUGGUCUGAGAGGAUGAUCAGCCACACUGGGACUGAGACACGGCCCAGACUCCUACGGAGGCAGCAGUGGGGAAUAUUGCACAAUGGGCGCAAGCCUGAUGCAGCCAUGCCGCGUGUGUGAAGAAGGCCUUAGGGUUGUAAAGUACUUUCAGUCGGGAGGCGUUACCCGCAGAAGAAGCACCGGCUAACUCCGUGCCAGCAGCCGCGGUAAUUC
rnacentral:rRNA from 1 species